UACGAAGGGGGCUAGCGUUGCUCGGAAUCACUGGGCGUAAAGCGCACGUAGGCGGAUUGCUAAGUCAGGGGUGAAAUCCUGGAGCUCAACUCCAGAACUGCCUUUGAUACUGGCAAUCUCGAGUCCGGGAGAGGUGAGUGGAACUGCGAGUGUAGAGGUGAAAUUCGUAGAUAUUCGCAAGAACACCAGUGGCGAAGGCGGCUCACUGGCCCGUAACUGACGCUGAGGCACGAAAGCGUGGGGAGCAAACAGG
rnacentral:rRNA from 1 species